rnacentral:lncRNA from 1 species
UCCUGUUCGUGGACGGCGUUGGAGAACAGCGUUUCUAUAGCUCCGCAUCGGACGCGAGCGCGGCAUGGAGCAGCUGCCUCCUCUCCCGAGACGAGAAAGCCCAUAGCCCCCUCAAAUAGCAUGGUAUAAUUUUUUCUUAUUAUUCACCCUGAAUCUGGCGUACACAUACAGUACAUGCUUAUGUAUUGUCUUAAUGAUUAUCCUAUUUUUUAGGAUGAACUUGCGUUUUGUGCAAUGUCACCAGUUCAUGAGGUACAAUAUGAGUGUAUUUUGGAAUUGAUUCAGAGGCAUGUUACAGAAGGGGAGCCUUGGCGCAGUGGUAAAGCUGCUGCCUUGUGACCAUGAGGUCAUGGGUUCAAGUCCUGGAAACAGCCUCUUACAGAAAUGUAGGGAGAGGCUGCGUACUAUAGACCCAAAGUGGUCGGACCCUUCCCUGGACCCUGCGCAAGCGGGAGCUACAUGCACCAGGUUGCCCUUUUUUAUUCAGAGGCAUGUUAAUUUUGGAGUAGAGUAUAUCUUGGAAUUGAUUCAGAUGCAUGUUAAUUUUGGAGUAGCUUGCAUUUUAUUCCACAGGAAUAAAAUUGAUAUACUCAAUUAACAAAUUCUUUUUUGAUAUGUUUGUAAUCAGUCAAUCAUUUAGAUAGAAUGAGUCUGGACCUCGUGGAGAAACAACAAUCGCCGGUAACCUUGAAAGUUUAUGUUCAAGGAAGAUGUUGGUUAAUUUCUUUGAGAUGGAGUGGUACAAAUGGUUCUAUUUUUUUUGCAUACUGGAUUUGUUCCCCUAUGGCUGUCUGCAUCAUCGUUUUAUCCGUGCAUGUGCCUGGAGGAGAUCAUCCUUUCAUCCGUGCAUGUGCUUGGAGGAGAUCCAGGAAUGUCCGGCAUGAGAAAGCUCAAAGCCGAGUCCUCCACCCAGGCCCUCCUUUGCAAGGUCGGCGAGGACACUGCUCUGUACAUGUGCUCCUCUCCCACCCCUCCACUGAUUUAAUGUGAAAUCUAAUUGGGAGGUAUUGAUAAGCACCAAUGUAUCCUUGGUUUAAUUAGUUCCCAUGUCUUGAGUUACUUUGAUCCUCUUGGUAAGAUCAAACCGAUGAAUACCUUUCAGGUCUCUCCGAUACGAAGUAAGCGAUACAAAUGCAAGGAUUGCACAUAAGUAAUUGGAUUUGACCCCAGUUAAUUUAUUGCCUGUUUAACAAUGCAGAAAGAAGAGUUGCUACACCGGAACCUAGGCCAUGCAGUGAUUCAUAUUUUGGUUGCGCGGCUGUUUCUAUGCUGUUCAUCCGAGGUAAAUUUUAAAAUGAUGCAUUGCUUCACCCUGCUAUAUCCCGACGCUCUCAUAGUUUAAUCUAUCCGUGUAUACACAUCUUUCUUGGUGAUUGUAUUUUUCAUGUUGCCUGUCGAUGGAUCUCGCAACCUAACACGCAGAGCUAGAUAAAUUGUAGUUAUUGUUGUAUAACGAUUGGUUUUGGUAAAAUUUCAUGCGUUAUAUGUUUUUGUGGGUUUUGAUAAAACCACUUCUGAUCUUCAGAGAUAUAUGUUUGGUACUUGCUCUACACAUAUAUGCCUGGCGCUCCAGCUCGUGCAUUCAUUUGAUCUGACAUGACGUACAUGUACAGAGCAACUUUGUAUAGUGUUGUUAGCUGGUGGUCUAUAUAAUUUAAGGUAAUGUAUGUGACUUAAGAUGAUGCAUUCAUGAAUUAAGCAUGGAUCUUAGAUUGCGCUGGGACUGCUUCCGAGGAUGCAGGUUUCCGAUCGUAAUAUAGACCUUUCAAAACAUUAUGUGUCAUGCCUGCACAGUACUUGAAACAUAAUUACACUGCAUAUAUUUAGCAAAUUUGCAUACUACUAUUGUUUAAGUAAAAAAAUGUGAACUUCAAAUUAUAUAGUGGCUUCAGAUUAUUUUCUCAAAAACCAAGAGAUCUUUUGGGGUUUGCAGUAGUCUGGUUUACAAGAGAUAGCCACAUGUCUUUAUAAAUUUAAAUUGUGAGCAAAACAUAGUGGAACAGAACUGAAGCUAUUUCCUUCAGUAUCGUCUAUGUCUACUUGACGUUUCCAUAGAAGCUAAUGUAACUAUCCCGCAACCUGAAAAUACCGUAUGAUGUCCAGAGAAGAUUUCUGCUUACAUGUGAAUGGUUCUACUGCUGUUCUAAGUGAUUUCUUGAAGUUCUUCCUAUUUUCCCAUAUCAUCUGCAAGCUGACCAAAUUAAUCCUUAUUUGUUUGCCAGGUUUGUCAAACAUCGCUUCAUGUUGUAGUGCAUUUUUUCCUUUCAAAAUCCAUUUUAUGCCAUUUGGAUUUAUAACUGUCAGUUUAUUAUUUGUGGAGAACAGGAGAUAAGGAAAAGGGGAGGGGAAAAACAGUAAUUCUAGCAACUGGCGUUUGUUCCGUACCAAAGCUCGGGAGUUCAUUCUAUUGUGUGCAUCAGAAGUCUAUACAUAUGAGUUGGCACUCGGAGAGUGACAUAGAUUUUCUUGAGGUUAUGAUUUUUUUAUCUACUAUUACUUGAAUCUUUCUUACCUGAGUUUUUUUUCUUGGAGUUCUUCCUGUUUCCCAUAUCACCUGCUCUAUAUAAGCUGCUCCAUAAAAUUAAGUACGCGCAUCCUCCUUUAUUGGCCAAGUUUGUUCUAUUAUACUAAUCUGAAGUCUGUACAAAGGACUUGGGACGGAGUGAAGCAGAUUUGCUUGAAGUUUUGAAUUAUUUACCAAAGUAGGGUUUGCAUAUUAUACUAUCCUAGAUUACAUGGCUAAGCAACUCAAUUAUACUGGUAAUACUUUGAAAUGGUUGUCUGUUCUGCCGGAGUACUCAUAUGCCAUAUUAAUUUCUGAGGAACAAUUUAU